rnacentral:rRNA from 1 species
UACGUAGGGAGCAAGCGUUGUCCGGAAUCAUUGGCGUAAAGAGCGCGUAGGUGGCUUUAUAAGUCCGUUGUGAAAGUCAAAGGCUCAACCUUUGAAAGCCGAUGGAUACUGUGAAGCUAGAGUACGGAAGAGGCGAGUGGAAUUCCUGGUGUAGCGGUGGAAUGCGCAGAUAUCAGGAGGAACACCAAUGGCGAAGGCAGCUCGCUGGGACGUGACUGACGCUGAGACGCGAAAGCGUGGGGAGCAAACAGG